UGUCCCCUAUUCAGGGGGGUGGGGGUGUGAGCGGUUAGUCUAGGACCUUGGUCUCCUCGGACUUUUCCAAUGUGGGAGUGGAAAGCAAGGAAAAGGCAGAUGAGUCCUAGUUAGCUGAAAACAGUUUUUAAAGGUUUUACUGUAGCGUUUUGAAAGCUUUAAAGCUUUAGAAGAUUUAAAUCUCUGGGGGAGAAAACAAAACCUGAUUAGAAAUCAUUGAUAAAAUUGCCUUCCAAUGAACUUCGCUUUGCCUGAGCACGUGGCAAGGCAAAAGCUGGCAGGGACACGAUAUAACAUUUAGUAAAGAGCACCUAUAGUCUUCCAAAUCUGGGAUCCCAAGCACCUUGCUUCCUCGCUCUGUCCCCUCUUGUUCAGGGUCCAAACUGGAUUUAGAGGAGAUUAUAUUGGAUCAGUUGAUUACACAAUCAGCUUAGUACGGUUUUUCAGGGACAUUUAGGGAGUAUUUUAGGGAGGCAUGGUUAUUCUAACGUCAAUAUCUAGAUUAGGGAUAUUUCCAAGCUUCCUAGUCCCCACAAAAAUAUUUAUGGAUCUAGCUUCCCUGGUUUUAUCUAAAACCGUUUAAGGAUUUAUGUUUGCAAUCUAUGUUACUUCUCUCCUGGUAAUACUUCUCACACAUUUACCACCUGCUGUGUAGUAUACUGCCUUUUCUUUUUCUUUUUUCUUUUUUUUUUUCAUCCUAAUUUUACCUACUUCAGGUUCUAAGGAGUGCCCUCAGGACUAGCUGUCCAGGAUUUGAUGGACAAGUCCUUGUUCUACCAAAAAGGGAAGUAAGACUUACCAGUUUGCUCUAGGAAGCAGAAAUUAAUCACAAGUCUGAGAACAACUUCUGUACAAGCAUCUCAGUAGGAGUAUUUGGGAAUCUAGCAUCAGUGCUUCAUUUUCAGUGUAGCCUACCCAGCUCUGCUUAUUUGGACUUUCUGGAACACAGCUCUGAUGAAGUCACUCUCCUAUACAAGAAAUUCAAGAUAGGAUUCAAGAAACAAUGAUUUCCAAUCUCAUCUGUAGGGUGCAUUAUAUUACAGUAAAAGUAAAAUGUUGGGAAAUGGACUGGACUUUCUUACCUCAUUUGGUCAACUUCUGGGACAUCUAAAUCUUGAUGUAAUAUGGAAAUAAGUUGGACCUGCACCCAGCUAUAAUAGUAACCAAAGGAGCUUCUCUUUGAAAAGAGCAUAAAGGACUCAUUGGAAAUUGCUAACGAGACAUUUUGAAAAUAGACAAUAAAUCCUAGUUAUACAUAUGCAAAACUAUAAUAUUUGUAUUAUGGAAAAUUUUUAGUUUACUAAAACUCACGCCUUUCCUGACACCCUCAAAAGGAGGUGGCAACUAAAAAAGAGAGAUUUUAAAUAACUCUAUAGAAGAUAGAGGAGAGAUAAAAAGAAGAAAGUGUUGCUAGAGCAGAAACUUUACAAACCAGAGCCAGUAGGUCAACAGCAGCUAUUGGAGAAAGGAUUGAGAAGGGGAUAGGUGGCUGGGGAAGAGAGGAGCUUCAGAAGAAGAACAGAUGUGAUCAAUGAGGAUUUUCAUCAGGAUUUCAGGCACAAUGUGUAAUGUAACCUUCCUUCUCUUUCAUUCCCCAUAUAGUCCUUAGUAAAGUAUCCAACUCUCUCCAAAGUCUUAGGGAGUUGAUUUUCUUUGUGGAACUCCUAAGAGGUGCUGAGUUGGCCUCCAACAAACAGAUUGAGAAUGUAGAGGGCCCUUGAACACAGCCAUGUCUUGGUUAAACCACUAAGGUACAAUGAAUAUACAGUGACUCUGAUGACAGUUCCAAGUCCUCCUUGGGAAGAAAAUGGCAAUAAUUGGAUUCAAUCACUCAAUAACUGGCAAUAAGUUGAUCCAGAAUGAUUUUUCCCCCUAUAUAUUCUACUCUAUUUUUGUCCAGCAAAACCCAUGCUGCAUCUUGCUUUAGAAAUUUUACUAUGAUAUCUUGAUCUUUACUUGGGCACUUGCCCCUAGUGCAGUCCAUACAUACAGAAAUCUAUUUAUAGCUUCUAUGGAAAAGUUUUUCUUUUCAAUAUGAUCUUUAAGUGCUGACUGGCUGCAAACAAUGAUAUUCUCUACGUCUGCCAUCUCUUUGUAAUAUCAGUAACCAUCUAAGCUCUUACAAUGAACAAGCAAGUUAGAGACGGGGUUUAAACCCUCUAGUAGGAUACAGUUGCUUCCUGCUUCACAUGAGAUCUGAAAAUAGAUUGCUCUACAUUGACAGUGACAAGACCCUUUCUGUCAACACUGUGAAGCUUCUCUCCUUCCUAAUCUCUGUCAGCGAUGGCUUAGGAAUGCCAAAAUACUUUAAUAGCUUAUGGGGCCAGUGUACAAAUGAUUGAUAUCUUAACUAUAUAUGAAAUUCCAGGACAGGCAGAGAAAUCAGAAGACUGGGGGAAAAGAGUCUAAAUGCAUUGCUUACUUUGGGGUUGGUUAAUCGACAUAUGUUCUACCAGUUUCCAUUGCUGUACCUCUCCUCUGUUGUCUUAUCUGAGAAUAUCUUCUUUUUUCACUUCAGUCUAUCUAAAAUUCACAUAGCUUAACCUAACUUCUAUUUUCCCUUAAUUUUGAGGCUUUUGCCAAAUUAAAAGUGAUUUCAUUCUCUACUGAA